rnacentral:rRNA from 1 species
AUUGAACGCUGGCGGCAUGCUUUACACAUGCAAGUCGAACGGCAGCGCGGGCUUCGGCCUGGCGGCGAGUGGCGAACGGGUGAGUAAUACAUCGGAACGUGCCCAGUCGUGGGGGAUAGCUCGGCGAAAGCCGGAUUAAUACCGCAUACGACCUGAGGGUGAAAGCGGGGGAUCUUCGGACCUCGCGCUAUUGGAGCGGCCGAUGGCAGAUUAGCUAGUUGGUGGGGUAAAGGCCUACCAAGGCGACGAUCUGUAGCUGGUCUGAGAGGACGACCAGCCACACUGGGACUGAGACACGGCCCAGACUCCUACGGGAGGCAGCAGUGGGGAAUUUUGGACAAUGGGCGAAAGCCUGAUCCAGCAAUGCCGCGUGUGUGAUGAAGGCCUUCGGGUUGUAAAGCACUUUUGGCGGGAACGAAAAGGACUGUGCUAAUACCACGGUUCGAUGACGGUACCCGCAGAAUAAGCACCGGCUAACUACGUG